UACGGAGGGUGCAAGCGUUAUCCGGAUUCACUGGGUUUAAAGGGUGCGUAGGUGGGUUGGUAAGUCAGUGGUGAAAUCUCCAGGCUUAACUUGGAAACUGCCAUUGAUACUAUCAAUCUUGAAUACCGUGGAGGUCAGCGGAAUAUGUCAUGUAGCGGUGAAAUGCUUAGAUAUCGAGAGGAACACCAGUGGCGAAGGCGAGUCUCUGGACGACACCUGACACUGAGGCACGAAAGCUAGGGGAGCAAACAGG
rnacentral:rRNA from 1 species